GCCAGUGUGGUAUAGUGGUUUGAGUGUUGGUCUAUGACUCUGUAGACAUGGGUUCAAAUACCAGCUCUGCCA